CGGGUUGUCUCGCAAGAGAUGAUCAGUGGCAGACGGGUGAGUAAUGCGUAGGAACCUACCUGAUAGUAGGGGAUAGCCGAUGGAAACGUCGGGUAAUACCUUAUAUUCCCUGAGGGGGAAAGAUUUAUCGCCAAAAGAUGAGUCCGCGUACGAUUAGCUAGUUGGUGAGGUAAUGGCUCACCAAGGCGACGAUCGUUAGCUGGUCUGAGAGGACGAUCAGCCACACUGGGACUGAGACACGGCCCAGACUCCUACGGGAGGCAGCAGUGGGGAAUAUUGGACAAUGGGGGCAACCCUGAUCCAGCCAUGCCGCGUGAGUGACGAAGGCCUUCGGGUUGUAAAGCUCUUUUGGCGGGGACGAUGAUGACGGUACCCGCAGAAUAAGCCCCGGUUAACUUCGUGCCAGCAGCCGCGGUAAGACGAAGGGGGCUAGCGUUGUUCGGAAUUACUGGGCGUAAAGCGAGUGUAGGUGGUUGUCCAAGUUGGAUGUGAAAGCCUUGAGCUUAACUCAGAAAUGCAUUCAGGACUGGGCGACUAGAGGACCGGAGAGGAUAGUGGAAUUCCCAGUGUAGUGGUGAAAUACGUACGAGAUUGGGAAGAACACCAGUGGCGAAGGCGGCUAUCUGGACGGUUUCUGACACUAAGACUCGAAAGCGUGGGAGCAAACAGGAUUAGAUACCUGGUAGUCACGCCGUAACGAU
rnacentral:rRNA from 1 species